rnacentral:misc_RNA from 1 species
GAAAUACAAUAAGUAAUAUAAAUUGUAGAAUUCAGUGAAUCAUCGAAUCUUUAAACGCAUAUUGCGCCCGCUAGUACUCUGGUGGGCAUGCCUAUUCGAGCAUCAUUUCAACCAUCAAGCCCCGGGCUUGUGUUGGGGACCUACAGCCGCCGCAGGCCCCGAAAAUCAGUGGCGGGCUCGCUGUUACACCGAGCGUAGUAGUAAUCACCUCGCUUAGGGCGUACCGCGUACACCAGCCGUAAAAAAGCCAAUGUACCCCAAGGUUAACCUCGGAUCAGGUAGGAAUACCCGCUGAACUUAA